ensembl:lncRNA
GUCGCCUUCAAGGGAUUCCCCCUUAUUUUUCUAUCCAGGGGUAGAAAAGAUCACCUGGAUACAUUGUUUUAUCCAGAAUUGGUUUAUUUCCCGGGGGAGACAGGUGGAAACAGAGUUCUCCUCCUGGGUCCCCAGCUGUUUGUAGUCAUAUUCCUUUACUCCCACACAAUGUGGUUAUGGAUUUCACUUUUGGCAGAUGCAUUUUAUUAAAAAUAUUGGCUAAUCAGUAACUUGUUAAAGGCAUACACCAGAAGGUUUGCUUUUGUUUAAUAAAGCAAUAAGAUAAAAUGAUGAUGGAGAGUCAAUCCUGGACUCCAGCGUUCAUCGAACCGCAUUUCCUUACAGGCUGAGCCAGCACCACUGGGAGGCCUGCAUUCUGUCAUCACACACUCAUCCUGUAAUACAUGAAAUAACUUCUAAAACAUCUCAACGGGCUACGAAGAUCUUCUAAAUAUUUUUAAAGCUCCAAAGGAUUAGAAUCGUCUGAAAUAAUGUUUCCCUUCCUGAAACUUGCUUCAUUUUGGUUCUAACCAUUCGUUCAACAUCAGUAUUAAUUUAUUGAUUCUGAAAAGGGAAGAAGAAAUCUUCAUGAGUAAGUGUGUAAGUGUGUGCUGCUUUACCAGCAUGAUAUAUUGUGUCCACUACCUCAAGGUGAGGGGGGCGAAAUCUGGCACUUAUCUAGCAUCAUCUUAUUUGCACUGUUCAGUAGCUAUCAACCCUGGUUCUCUACUGGUAUCACCUGGAGAAAUUUUGAAAAACAAAUGCUCGAACUUUGCCCCUAGAAAUUCAGAUUUAGUGAAUACAAAGGCUACCUCAGCCCACUGAGAAAAUGAGAUGCACAGCUUAGGUUGAGAACUAAUUGUGUGGACAGCAAAACUGGUGUAUUAGGCUCUCUAAAACUUACUUAAAAAAAUUAGUUUGCUCCCAGGUCUCUCUUCUCUCCUCCCUGCCUGCAAGGACACUAAGCAUCUGUGCUCAACCCUUCUUAUCAAAUCCCACUGGCUUAGACUAUUUCCCUCCAUCAAACUCCUGCUGGGGUUACUAUAGCAUCGCUCAUCCGUUUGAGGUUUAUGUACAGUGUGUGCAUGCAUGUGUGGGUGUGUCCCCAAGAGAACUACAAUUCUUUAUGGAGAGGGAUGACAUCUUUAUGUUCACCAUGCACCAUUCUAGCCAAGUGCAGUUCAUAUAACAGGUACUCAGUAAAAAAGGAUGUUUCAAAAGUACGUAAGUAAUUUGGAUAAUCAUAAGACAUUUAUAAACACAGAAAUAAAACGAUUUAUGUUAUUCAUAAUGAAGCCAUUAGCUUAUAUUGGUGGCUAAUAUUCAACACGGUAAACACAAGAAUUUAAGAAACUUAUGGGUUUCAAAGUGUUCCUUAGAAAAUAGUCCAAGGCAAAAACAAUCUUAAGAAUUGCAACCACAUGCGGAAUGUCAUCAAGGCUUUAUGGGACUCUGUAUUAGUUAUCUUGGGCUGUCAUACAAAAUAUCACAGAUUGCAUGGCUUAAACAACCAAAAUUUAUUUUCUCACAGUUCUGGAGGCUGGGAAGUCAAGAUCAAGGUGCUGGCUGAUUUGGUCCCCGGUGAAGGAUCACCUCCUGCCAUGCUGAUGGCCACUUUCUCACUGUGUCCUCACGGUUGCGGAGGGCGGACACAAUUCAGUCCAUAGCAGAAUCUUUCCACAGUAUCUCUGUCCAGCAGUCAUCCAGCCUUUACAUCAAUGAUUCUAGUGGUGAGAAAUCAGUACCUGGCAAUACUUCAUCAUGGGAGAGC